rfam:Nectria haematococca mpVI 77-13-4 unplaced genomic scaffold NECHAsca_45_unmapped, whole genome shotgun sequence.
GGCGCUUUAGCUUAGUGGUUAAAGUAAUCCCUUUAACUAAGGGAUAGACCUGGUUUCGAGUCUCGGAAGCGUCU